UGGGGAAUAUUGGACAAUGGGCGAAAGCCUGAUCCAGCCAUGCCGCGUGUGUGAAGAAGGUCUUCGGAUUGUAAAGCACUUUAAGUUGGGAGGAAGGGCAGUAAGCGAAUACCUUGCUGUUUUGACGUUACCGACAGAAUAAGCACCGGCUAACUCUGUGCCAGCAGCCGCGGUAAUACAGAGGGUGCAAGCGUUAAUCGGAAUUACUGGGCGUAAAGCGCGCGUAGGUGGUUCGUUAAGUUGAAUGUGAAAGCCCCGGGCUCAACCUGGGAACUGCAUCCAAAACUGGCGAGCUAGAGUAGGGCAGAGGGUGGUGGAAUUUCCUGUGUAGCGGUGAAAUGCGUAGAUAUAGGAAGGAACACCAGUGGCGAAGGCGACCACCUGGGCUCAUACUGACACUAAGGUGCGAAAGCGUGGGGAGCAAACAGG
rnacentral:rRNA from 1 species